GGGUUGUGAGGUUAAGCGACUAAGCGUACACGGUGGAUGCCCUGGCAGUCAGAGGCGAUGAAGGACGUGCUAAUCUGCGAAAAGCGUCGGUAAGGUGAUAUGAACCGUUACAGCCGGCGAUGUCCGAAUGGGGAAACCCAGUGCAAUUCGUUGCACUAUCGUUAACUGAAUACAUAGGUUAACGAGGCGAACCGGGGGAACUGAAACAUCUAAGUACCCCGAGGAAAAGAAAUCAACCGAGAUUCCCCCAGUAGCGGCGAGCGAACGGGGAGCAGCCCAGAGUCUGAAUCAGCUUGUGUGUUAGUGGAACGGUCUGGAAAGUCCGACGGUACAGGGUGAUAGUCCCGUACACCAAAAUGCACAGGCUGUGAACUCGAAGAGUAGGGCGGGACACGUGGUAUCCUGUCUGAAUAUGGGGGGACCAUCCUCCAAGGCUAAAUACUCCUGACUGACCGAUAGUGAACCAGUACCGUGAGGGAAAGGCGAAAAGAACCCCGGCGAGGGGAGUGAAAAAGAACCUGAAACCGUGUACGUACAAGCAGUGGGAGCACCUUCGGGUGUGACUGCGUACCUUUUGUAUAAUGGGUCAGCGACUUAUAUUCUGUAGCAAGGUUAACCGUAUAGGGGAGCCGCAGGGAAACCGAGUCUUAACUGGGCGUUAAGUUGCAGGGUAUAGACCCGAAACCCGGUGAUCUAGCCAUGGGCAGGUUGAAGGUUGGGUAACACUAACUGGAGGACCGAACCGACUAAUGUUGAAAAAUUAGCGGAUGACUUGUGGCUGGGGGUGAAAGGCCAAUCAAACCGGGAGAUAGCUGGUUCUCCCCGAAAGCUAUUUAGGUAGCGCCUCGUGAACUCAUCUUCGGGGGGUAGAGCACUGUUUCGGCUAGGGGGUCAUCCCGACUUACCAACCCGAUGCAAACUACGAAUACCGAAGAAUGUUAUCACGGGAGACACACGGCGGGUGCUAACGUCCGUCGUGAAGAGGGAAACAACCCAGACCGCCAGCUAAGGUCCCAAAGUCAUGGUUAAGUGGGAAACGAUGUGGGAAGGCACAGACAGCCAGGAUGUUGGCUUAGAAGCAGCCAUCAUUUAAAGAAAGCGUAAUAGCUCACUGGUCGAGUCGGCCUGCGCGGAAGAUGUAACGGGGCUAAACCAUGCACCGAAGCUGCGGCAGCGACACUAUGUGUUGUUGGGUAGGGGAGCGUUCUGUAAGCCUGCGAAGGUGUGCUGUGAGGCAUGCUGGAGGUAUCAGAAGUGCGAAUGCUGACAUAAGUAACGAUAAAGCGGGUGAAAAGCCCGCUCGCCGGAAGACCAAGGGUUCCUGUCCAACGUUAAUCGGGGCAGGGUGAGUCGACCCCUAAGGCGAGGCCGAAAGGCGUAGUCGAUGGGAAACAGGUUAAUAUUCCUGUACUUGGUGUUACUGCGAAGGGGGGACGGAGAAGGCUAUGUUAGCCGGGCGACGGUUGUCCCGGUUUAAGCAUGUAGGCUGGUUGUCCAGGCAAAUCCGGAUAAUCAAGGCUGAGGUGUGAUGACGAGGCACUACGGUGCUGAAGUAACAAAUGCCCUGCUUCCAGGAAAAGCCUCUAAGCAUCAGGUAACAUCAAAUCGUACCCCAAACCGACACAGGUGGUCAGGUAGAGAAUACCAAGGCGCUUGAGAGAACUCGGGUGAAGGAACUAGGCAAAAUGGUGCCGUAACUUCGGGAGAAGGCACGCUGGUGUGUAGGUGAAGUCCCUGCGGAUGGAGCUGAGACCAGUCGAAGAUACCAGCUGGCUGCAACUGUUUAUUAAAAACACAGCACUGUGCAAACACGAAAGUGGACGUAUACGGUGUGACGCCUGCCCGGUGCCGGAAGGUUAAUUGAUGGGGUUAUCCGUAAGGAGAAGCUCUUGAUCGAAGCCCCGGUAAACGGCGGCCGUAACUAUAACGGUCCUAAGGUAGCGAAAUUCCUUGUCGGGUAAGUUCCGACCUGCACGAAUGGCGUAAUGAUGGCCAGGCUGUCUCCACCCGAGACUCAGUGAAAUUGAACUCGCUGUGAAGAUGCAGUGUACCCGCGGCAAGACGGAAAGACCCCGUGAACCUUUACUAUAGCUUGACACUGAACAUUGAGCCUUGAUGUGUAGGAUAGGUGGGAGGCUUUGAAGCGUGGACGCCAGUCUGCGUGGAGCCAACCUUGAAAUACCACCCUUUAAUGUUUGAUGUUCUAACGUUGGCCCCUUACCGGGGUUGCGGACAGUGUCUGGUGGGUAGUUUGACUGGGGCGGUCUCCUCCCAAAGCGUAACGGAGGAGCACGAAGGUUAGCUAAUCCUGGUCGGACAUCAGGAGGUUAGUGCAAUGGCAUAAGCUAGCUUGACUGCGAGCGUGACGGCGCGAGCAGGUGCGAAAGCAGGUCAUAGUGAUCCGGUGGUUCUGAAUGGAAGGGCCAUCGCUCAACGGAUAAAAGGUACUCCGGGGAUAACAGGCUGAUACCGCCCAAGAGUUCAUAUCGACGGCGGUGUUUGGCACCUCGAUGUCGGCUCAUCACAUCCUGGGGCUGAAGUAGGUCCCAAGGGUAUGGCUGUUCGCCAUUUAAAGUGGUACGCGAGCUGGGUUUAGAACGUCGUGAGACAGUUCGGUCCCUAUCUGCCGUGGGCGCUGGAGAAUUGAGGGGGGCUGCUCCUAGUACGAGAGGACCGGAGUGGACGCAUCACUGGUGUUCGGGUUGUCAUGCCAAUGGCACUGCCCGGUAGCUAAAUGCGGAAGAGAUAAGUGCUGAAAGCAUCUAAGCACGAAACUUGCCCCGAGAUGAGUUCUCCCUGAGACUUUAAGUCUCCUGAAGGAACGUUAAAGACGAUGACGUUGAUAGGCCGGGUGUGUAAGCGCAGCGAUGCGUUGAGCUAACCGGUACUAAUGAACCGUGAGGCUUAACCUUACAACGCCGAAG
rnacentral:rRNA from 1 species